rnacentral:lncRNA from 1 species
GAUUUUUGAGUCGAGCUUAAGGAGUUUCGGCCCAAAGAAAGAAAAAUGGCCCAAUGACACGAUGAUCUCAAGAAAUCAGAAAAUGAAUUUGCAGAUGGGUCCCUGUACUUUUGAGUAUUUUCACUACGGCCCUAAAAACCUUUAAUUUCUUUCAAUCAGGUCCUAAUUUAAUUUCAAAUAGGUCCCUUAUCUUUAUUUUUCUUCAAUUUUGACCCCUGGUCUUUCUGAUAAUUACAAAUUGACCUCUAAAACUUUAUUAAUUUUUGCAAUUAGCUCCCUGAUAGAAUUGUUGUUCUAAAUAGAAGUAGCCUUUUUUUUAAUUAUGAAUUAUGUUCCAUUUGAACGCUUCAAUUGGUUGAUUUUGGGGGUGAGCAAAUUCGGUUCUUACCGAAUUCAUAACCGAUUUCAAAUUCAAUUCGGUAAUUUGAAAUCGGAUAUUUGGUAAUUUAGUACAAAUUCUGGACAUGCCGAAUUCACCGAAUGCUAAUAUGGUAUGAAAUAGGUAAUGAGAUUAUGAAUUUGGUAAUAACCGAUUUCGCGUUCAAAUUUGGUAAUUGAAAUCGAGUACCGCAUUACCGCAUUCGAAUUACCAAAUUGAUAUAUAAAAUUAUAUAAUAUAUAGAUAAAUGCUAUUUAGUAUUAGUAUAUACUACUAAUACUUUAUUAUAUUAUAUAGGUAAAUGCUAUUAAUAAUAAUUAGUAUAUGGUAUUAUCAUCAUAUCAUGUACUUAUAAUUAUAAUAAUAAUAUAUAAUAAUGUACAAUAUAUUCUUUUAGUAUUUGUUAAUUGUUAUAUGACUAUAAUAAUACAAAUAUAUAGUAAUACAUAACAAUAUAAGAUAACUAUAAUACUUAUUAUUUUAUAGGUGAGUAAUAUGAUUGUAAAUUCAUUGUAACUACUAACUAAUAUAACUUAUUAUUAAUCAUUGUAAAUUAUAAAUUCAUAAAUUAUCACCAAUCAUUGUAUAGUCUAAGGUUUAUUCUAAUUUAAAUUAAUAGAUAAAUUAUUACUUUUUUUUUAAUAGAUGAAUUCGGUCCGAAUUCAUUACCGUUUUCGAAUUUGAAAUCGGUUGCGGUAUGAAUUCAGUUAUGGCUAAUUCGGAAUUGAAAACGGUUUAUAUUUCUAUAGGUAGAAUAACCGAAUUCACCGAAUUCAGUGCACCGAAUUACUGAUUUUGCACCGAAUGCACACCCCUAAUUGAUUUCAUGCUUAUUUCCAUUUUUAUGAAUUAUGUGUUAAUUAAAUUGGUGCCUUGAUGAUUUUUGUUCAUUUUGGAGUUAAAUAGGGAAAAUCCACACCCCAAUUAGUCACUACGUCAAGGGAGGUAUAUUCUCGUGUUAUUUUAAAUCUCCCUACGUGUUCCUAUGUGAUUUUGUGUGUAAUUGCAUGCCUCUUGAAUAUUUUAUUAUUAUUUAUUUAUUUGUUUCGUUUAUUUAUUUAUUCGCUUUAUUGUCUCUAGUUUUGUUUAUUUAUUUCAAUCAUUUGAAAGGCAUUUGAAUGCCAAAGUUGUAAUAGUUAGGAGUUUAUUCCUCUCCCCCCUUAGAUUGUAGUAGGCACCCCCUUUUGUAAUAGGUAGGGCUUGUGUGUUAUGUGUUUGUGGGUGCCUAUAUGCCUAUGUGUUUAAUCGCUUUCCCUAGGUUUUUGCAUUUAGAUAAGCAUGCUUAUGUGUUACGUGCUAGAUGAAACUAUGUGUUUUUGCAUGUCUAUUUGCCUUUUAGUAUUAUAUCUGAUUAUGUGGAUGGAAUGCACGUUACCGUGGCUAGUCCAAUGCUAGUCAUGGUCUUCCCCUCGAUCACUCACAAGUCCAAUGCUUGUGAGAGAGCAUUAGUGAAGGGCUAGUCCAAUGCUAGACCCAAUAGGGCCAGUCCAAUGCUAGACCCAAUAGGGCCGUCCCCCUUUCGAUAGUGUCAUAUCUGCAUGCCUCACUACAAUUUCAUGCAUAUUUUCAUUUUAGCAUUUCUCAUUUUUGCAUGCUCCCCUAACUUUUCCCUUACACAUUUAGGGCUGCAUUAUCAUUUUAUACUAGCUCAUUUGCUUGCGUAGGUUAGGGAGUCACCCUUUUGGUAAGGGGAACAGACGAGUAUGGCUACACAUAGUCUUAGCACGCUUGUUUUCUUUCUAACCAAAAGGAAAAUCAAAAGUCACGACUUUAGGGUCUCCCCGUACCCGUCUUGCUUUGCAUUCCUUUAGGGCUCAUGCAUUUCAUAUUAUAAUAUACCACUUUCGACCACUAUCACUUCACACACACUCUCACUUUCUUCACGCUACCACUUUAUCCACUCUAUCAUUUUACACACUCUCACUUUACACUCUCUCAUAUUUGCACAUUUUACACUUUAUAUGCUCAUUUGCACACUUGCACCUUAUACUCUCCCUCACUUGUACACGCGCACUUUUCAUACUCAUUUGCACCCCUGUACUUUACACACCCACUUGCACACCUACACUUUACACACCUACUUGCAGAGUUGCACUUUGUACACUUGCACCUAGCACUCGUUUUUUACACUCAAAGACAUUUUCACACUCUCAUUUUUUUCCAUUAUUACUCGAGCAUUCAUUUGCUUUUAUUUGUGACCUCUUUGAGGAUUCAUCAUUGGCUAUCACAAUUUAUGUGAUUAGGACCAAUCGUGCCUCAAAAGAGACAUUUUGGCUCAUUCGAACCAAUCAUUAGAUUUAGGUUUGCACUCAUAUUAGACACAUCCAAAUGCAAUACAUCUUUUGGUUAGAAAUUAGGAAAAUUAUGACUAAAUCACGCAACUAGCUUAAGUUAGGGUAAAAGGGUGCCUUAGACUUUGCCUUUGUCUUCCCUUUUAUCAACUGUGACCCCCGAACUCGUUCCUUUGAUUUUCGUAGAUUAGGAGUCAUCUAAAAAGGUUUUUGUGACGGCCCCACCUCCCCCUAAGGCGAACCAAAGGGUUCGGCGGGCCGCCUGCCCAGCUCUCGCCGGGACUCAGUCGUUCCCUACAGUCCUCAAAUAGAUUACAAGAUAUAACUUAAAUAUACAUCAAAUUCUCCCAGAAUUACAUAUAAACAAAACGAAGCGGAAACUAAUUCCAAGCGUGGAACGUAUGUAUACAUCCGAUCGAUUCCAAACAUUCAUUACAAUCCCUAAUAAUAACUAUUACACAAAAGGAAAUCCAAAUUCAAACCAUACAUGAGAUAAUCCAUCCAUUCACAUGAAUAAGCACUACAAGCCCUUUCUUCGCCACGAGCCCUGUGGAGGGGAAUAAAACAUUUUGGGGGUGAGCUAAAAGCUCAGCGAGUAACCAGAAAAAUCAGUAAUCAAAUCGGUUUCACAAUAGUUCAUUUCAAUGAUGUCAUAUAUCAAUGAUGUCAUAAAUCAAAUGAUAAGUCCAGAAACAACUACAACAUUUGCAAAAUAGUAAAUAUGGAGUAUCAAUAAUUCAAGAAACAUUUACAAUGGAAAGCGAUAGUAACAUUCAUGAAAAAGAUACGGCUCACAGGGAGCAAUUCAUUCGAUCAUUCAUUCGUUCUCCUGACAUUCUCCUUCCUUCAUUCAUUUGAAAAUGUAUUUUUCAUUUAUCCAUAAACCCCUCGUUCGUUCGUUCGUUCAUUUCAUUCACCAAGCUCCACCACCCUCCACCAACCUACAUGGGUAAUACUCGAGUAUACCAAACGUUCACCCAAGUCCCUAAUCGCCCGACCGAGACCGCUUCUGGCUCGAGACGACCGGUAACAAGGGCAGUGGUCAGUUCAGCCCAAAAGGCUUACAUCAUGCGCAACUAGCAUUUCAAUAAUUAAAUCCUUGAAAAUUGCACAGUUAUUUAGGUCGAGUGCGAUAAAGUACACACUCGCCUAGAAAGCUCAUUUUGGAAAUCAUUCAAAGCACUUAACACGUUAUCAAUCAAUAAUACAAGUCAUGAAGUCAAGAAAAUAUACCAAAUAAGGAACACUCACAUGCAAGCACGCAUGAUAUGCAAGAAAACAGUUCAAAAGUAACUUUGGAAAUAGUUUAAAAGUAAAUAAUGCAGGAAACGGUUUAUAAAUAACUUUAGAAAUAGUUUGAGGUCACUCACCUCUACGGCUCAGGAACCAACCAUCAUAUAUCAUUGCCUUGCUCAAAUCCAAGUCUUAGAUCACAAACUCAAUGCAAUCAAGUCCUUUCAAAGUUCGGACAGCACUUCCACUAAAUUUGCUUACUUUUCCAGCCGUCAAGGCUUCAUUAUUUCCUCAGCCAGUCCCAAAGUCACACAAAUAAAUUCAUUCAAUAGCCGUUCAAUAAAGGUCCAAGUAGUACAAGUACAAUUCAAGGUAGGGAAGAGUCCGGAAAUGAAAGUUAAGCUCAAAACCAGAAAAACAGGUUUUGACGUCAUUUUGCAGUAAUGGUACCAAAGGCACUACGAUUGUCGGAUGAAGGUGCAAGACCCACCGUUUCGAAACUAAGAGACAGGGCUACAAUAUUGCAGAAGGUCACUCAACCCAGUUUCAAGUGUAACCAGGUCAAAAAUGCAAGAAACUACACCAGAACUGGAAAAACAGAUUCACAGAACGCAUUCUAGCGGAAACAUCAUAAAUCAGGCUAUCCAAGUUCAAAUCCAGAAAUUCCAAAGCCAGCUGAAAGCUAAGAAACAAGGUUAAAUUUCAUCAGAAGGCCUCAACAACCAAUUCGGAAGCAAUUCCAGCCAAAACAACCAAUUACAGGCGCACUUCUCAAUUUCGGGUAAAACCAGAACAGCAAUAGUAAUUUUGACUUUUCUCAUUCCACACUACUCCGAUUGACCUGAAAUUUUGUAGCCACCUUUAAAAUGUCAUUCCCUACAACUUUCAUGUUUUAAGCCAAGGCCAAUUCGGCCUCUAUCUAUGAGCUAUAAAUUCGGACAGAAUGAAGAACAUUGAAACCUAGUUUUCCACUUUUCCUUCCAAAACAGAAAUUGAUUGCAAUUAAUCACCUUUUCCACCUCCUAGAGUCAUUAAACAUCAUUUCCAAUCAUCAUACAUGACCCCAUAAUCAUAUCCAUAUGAAAACAGAAAAAUCCCCAAAAAUAAUAAAAUUUCAUCAUUUUCAACCAAAAUCAGGAAAUCAACCAUAAAAUCACUUAUUCAACCACCACCAAUCACUAAUUGAACAUUAUCAAGAUCAAAGGAAAGGUUCCUUAGUCACUUACCUUACAAACCCAAGAAAAGAAGCAACUUAGCACCUUGGUCUUCCAAACCACUUCACAACCAACCUUAAUACCACUAAACUAAGAGGUUUUAUGGAGGAAAUCCAAGUUUAAUCGGUUAAAUUAUUUGAUUGGAGCAAGAAAUGAAGAAGUAAGAUGAAAGCUUUCCUUUCUUUUCUCCUUGUGAAGCUCAGCCAAGAUGAUAAAGAAUGAAGGUAAUUUUGGAUCAAUUUGGUACUUAUUUGGUAAAGGUAGUAAGAUGGUCAAAUGUCAAAGUCCAACCUUCAAUAACAAGGUGACACUUGUCACCCUUUAAGCUUGAGAUUAUCUUCUUGUCUCUCCAAGACAAAUAUCUUAACACCUUGUAAAAUAAUAUCACUUAAUACAAAAUUCCAACAAGUUGUCAAAAAUAUAAUGCAUUUACCGCACUAGCGGGUCCCACGUUCAAAAUACGUUCUUAAUUUCUCAAAAACUAAUCGAUACUAGAAAAAUCAUUUUAAAACUAUCUUUGCUCAUAAACUUUAUCUGGGGAAUUUUUCUAAUCAAGAAAAUGUAGAAAAGGUGGGCGAUUAAAAAAAAUAAAUCCUAGAAAAUUAGAAAAUUUCCGGAUUCUCAAACUCAUUUUUUUUUUCGGGGCAUCACAGUUUACUUCAUUUUUUCAAAAACUACUUUUUUUGGUGACUUGGUACACCCCAACUCAAUACCAAGUGGCGACUCCUAUUUUUUUGUUUAAAACCUUUUUAGAUUAUCAUUUUGGCCAAACCGUUGCAUUUAAAAGUACCAUGGCCUUUUCCUUUAUUUCUCACAUUCACAUGUUUCAUGCACACUACACAUUAUGAUUUCAAACGCUUAUUUUUCUUUAUUUUCAAAAAAUGGGGCGCGACAGUUGGUGACUCCACUGGGGACUUCCUAAGUGGGUCCGAACACAUGAUUUAGUUAUUCUUUUCCUCUUCUACCCUUUUCAUGUAUCACAUUGGGAUGUUUAAGAUUGCAUUUUUUCUUUUUUUAGGAUUUUUGCAUUUCGCGCGUAUCAAUUCACUCCCUUACCCAUUUGCAUACGAUUGAUUUGAUGGAUGGAUGGUUUAUUUAUGUGAUCCCGCGCUUUGCAUUGCAUUUGGGUGGGGGGAUAUUACCCUAGAGCCUCGCGUUGGUUCUCGAUCCCUCCCCUCCAAACGAGCACUAGCAUACGUGCAUAUGCUUUAUAUUUUAUCCCUCAUUUAUUUUUCUUUUAGUGGCUUGUCACGCCACUCCACCCUAUUAGGAUUUUAGGCGACUCACUUGGACUUGUGAUCGCGACACGAUGUGUGCGUAGCAUGAUCCGAGGAGUCACUCAAUCUUCCAUUUUAAACUUUGGGUUCAUAGCCUUUAGCUUUUAGUCGAAAGUUGAGGAUUUUCGAUAGAUUCACUCAUGACACGUAACCAUGACACGAUGUGUGCGCAGUAGUGUCUGGGGAAUCGGUCGAGUCACCGACAAAGAACCUUGGGAGUGAUGACCUUUGGUUUCCAAGUCUGAAGGCUCGGGGACCUAAGACCUAUCGAGUCUAGAUGCGUUAGUGAGCAAAUAUCUCAUGCAUCCAUGAUAGUUUGUCUAGGGUAGAGUCUGCCUUACCUUAUUAAGGACACCAUUCACGAGGGGAGGGAUCCAACCCCUCUAUUCCUUUUAUUGAUUUAUCUUUUUGUAUUGCUUUGCUACAAAUGUGUUAUGUGAACUUGUUUGAUUGAACUAACUUUUCUUGGUUUUUGUCUCUAUUGCAUUCAUAAGUCUAAAAAAUAAGAGCCCUGACAUGGUACUCUUUAGGAGCCUACCCUAUUUAAUAUGACACGUUUAAAUUCAAUGCUUCGCAUUGGCAGCAUAAAUACAUUUCAUUUUAGACUCACCCCGGCAUACAAAAAGGGGUUCCUUUAGGUCACAUUUCAUUUGUGUACUGCAUGUUUACUCGCUUUGAUAAAAUGGCAUCAUGCAUAAACCUUAGAAGGGAAUGCCAUUUAGGGAAUCCCGUGUUAGGAAUAAACCGCCCUGUGUCUCAGAUAUAUAAUCCAAUGAGACUUGCACGUUUAUAUUUCCUGUAACAUCCAAAGGGGUAGUGCACAAAAUAAGGUAAGAUCCGAUCCUUUUAAAGACGGCAAAACAAUUUUUGCACAUUAGAAUAUGGGCAUUCUAACAAUCAUCUUUUGGCCAUUUUAAACAAAAUUAGUAAAAAUUUCCUUGCGUAAAGGACAUUAAUUUGAAGUAAUUCACAAAUAAUUCCUCAUAGUUGAGACAAUAAAUAUAGAGGCCAAAUCUUGAUUUUAGGAGGCUCAUAGACUAAUACAUUGCAAUGAUUUUUUGAAACUACUAAUGGGUAGAUAAUUCAAUCGAUUUUUGAAUAAACCAUCAAUUUCAUCCAAUCCAUUUUGUCAAUUCAUUCAAUUUUAGAACAAUCUAAUCAUUUUUGAAUAAAUCAUUAACUCCAUUUCAUUCAUUUGGCCAAUUUACCCAUUUUUAGGACAAUCGAGUCAAUUUUGAAGAGAUAAUCAAUUCCAUUCAAUUCAGUUGACCAGUCUACCUAUUUUUAGUGCAAUUCGGUCGAUUUUGAAUAAAUUAUCAAUUUCAUCCUAUCCAUUUGACCCGCUUUUUCCCCUUUAGGGUUUAAGUCUAAGGUUCACUGAAUAAAUUAAUCGAGACAUUGCAAUCUCUUUUACACAUCAUUUUAUGUGUUGAUCAAAGCAGGUAAUCUAUUCGGACUUCGUCCUCAUUGUUUUAGGACAAAUGUCUCUUCUCACUCUAAUUGGCCAAAUUUUUCAAAUCAUUUUUCACUCAAUCAGUUUUUCGGAUUCAUCAGGUAUUAUAUGGUGCCUAUUCUAGAGGAUUGCAUUUUCAUGUUAGACCUACCCUUGGCAUAAAAGGGCUCCCCCAUAGGACAUGCAUACCGAUUUUGUACUCUUGCCUACUAACUCGGGGUAUUUUUUUUCUCUUUUAUUUUUCCACCUCCCCUGCAUUCAUAAAAAUGCUUUAAUAAGGUGCAAAUAUUUUUCUCUGUCUGAUAAAAUUUGAAAAUUACAAGUAUUACUUGAUUCUUGGGCAGGUCUUGCAAUGAAAACAUGAAAGAUCUAUCUGGAAGCGUUAGGCUAAAGCCUCCAAGAGAUUUCAUAAUUAUUUUUCAAAGAAAAAUUCUGUAUAUUUGACUUGUUAAUACAUUUUUGUCCCAAAAGAAAAGGAGACAAUAAGUGUAUUUGUGGUCUCUUCUCAUUUGUAUUAUAAUUGAACGAGAAAUUUUGUUUUAAACUUUUUUAGCAAUAAAGUUUUUGGACAAUUAUUGUUUUGUGUAUAUUCAUGUGCAUUUCAUUCUUUUUUAUUUGCUCAUUGGAGAUUUCAUGAUGAAUUUUAAGAAAUAAGACCAAAUUGAGAUUUUUUCAACCUCUAACCUGAAAAUUCACAGGUGUAUGCUUUCUAAAAUCUUUACUUACACUAGAUUGGUGAUCUGAACUAUACAAUAAGAGUGCUCAAAAUUAAAAAAGGUCACUCGAAAGACCCAAUGAGAUACCUUUUCUCCUUCACUAUACAAUUCAUAUUUUGCCCACUUCUAUUAACCCCAAAAUAAAAUCAGUCACAUUGACUGAUAAAGUGCAAAUUGGGACAACCUUGGCUUGAAAAUGUCAACUGUGUCUAAUUAGAUUCAAUCUACAGCUCUGCGAAAGCAAAAUGGUGCAUUAACCUUGUUUAUUUUGAAAAUUUGGAAUGAUACUUCGAGCGUUCGUUUCUCUACCUAUACAGAUUUUAUCAUUUGCUCUCCCAUUUGAGCAUUUAAAAGAAUAAUUUCGUUUCAAAUAAGCGCCUUAAUGGUCACUACCCUACAUUGAAAAAUUCUUAGAUAUCAAAAAGGGAGUGGAUUUUCAAUGACCAUUUCGUUACUUUGGUUGUCAUGAGGUGUAAGAAUGAUACUUUGGCCAUCGUUUCUACAACCUAAACACCAUUUAUCCCUUGCAUCCUCAUUUGAGCUAAAAUGGGUAGUUCUUUUCAAAAGCACUUACGAUCGCACCCCACAUUGGAGAAGGAGAUUGGAGAAUUUUCCAAAAGGAGAAAAAACAAAAAUGCUAAAAUUAAAAGAAAAGAGGGAAUCACAAAUUGGAGAAAUUUGAUUCUACCUGGGCUUCAAUUUUGAAAAAAAAAAGAAAAAAAGAAAAGAGAGAAGGAAAAAAGAAAAAGGAAGAGUUUUGUCCGGCGGAUCACCUAUGUUUCACAAAUAUGGAUGAACAGGAGUCUUUCUCAGUCAAUUAAUUCAGAUACAUGCAAGAAAUUUCGCAUUAAUGAAAGUUUCCUUUCCAAGUUAAUAUAAGGAAUAGAAUGAAAAGUCAGACUUUCUUCUUUUUCAAUCAAACAUUCUAUCCCUAGUUAUCCCUUUUGAGCCUUCAGAAUAAGUUAUUUCGUUUGGCAACCCCUAAAGAUCGCAAACCCCAUAUUGGGGCAAGUUUGAGUUGAAAAGGAAAGAAAUGUUUCAAGAGGUGAAAAGUGAUAAAGCAACAAAAUCAAAAAACAAAAGAAGAAAAGAGAACAUCGGUUAAGUAUAAACUGGGACAAAUUUUGAAAAAUUUCAAAGAAAUGGCAAAAGGCUGAAAGAAAAAUGAAAGAGAAAAGAGCCUCAAUUGAGGAUAAACUGGGGCAAGUUCUGAUUUAACCCUAAAAGAGGGUUGAUACAAUAAUGCGAUCUCAGAUAAUUUAAACCACUUUUGAAAAUUCACUUUCAACCCUUAAUUUUUCUAAACACCCCACCAGACCCCAUUACAAAAGCCGAAAGUCCUGAAUUCUGUUUCUUUGCAAUAUUUCUGUCAAGAAAUUUUUUAAUUGGCAAGUGAUGCUCAUAUACUGAUGCCAGAAAAUUUUUUAAAUGUAUUUCUGAAUUAGUUAGUUGUGAAGUUGACAGUGCUCAUCAUGUAAAAACCCACAAGGGCACCUUUGAAAAAAAAAGAAGAAAAAAAAAGAAAGAAAAAGCAAGGAAAAUAAAUGAAAAGGAAAUGCAAAAAAUUCGAUGCUGAAGUCCCUGUUGAGUAAUGAUGAAACUCAAAUAAAGUCCAAGAUCUUCGAGUUCAAAAUAGGAGCAAUUUUGGAAAAAAUGCGAUCUUCAGUACAAUGUCCUUGAAAAUCUUAUCUCUUUAACUAUCGUUUUCAAUCCUCAUUACAAGCUCAUAAAAUCCAUCGUUGACUUAUCCCUCAUGACAAUUCGAAGUAAGGAUUAUGCUUCUGAGGAAUCUCUCAAUCAUUUGGGAUCAUAAGGUUAUAACCCUGUUAUCCACAUGUUCAACUAUCGUUUCUACCAAUAUGUUACAAGUUUAUAAAGCUUAUAUGUUGACUAAGUUUUCUUAAGAAAUAGGGGUGACAAACUAUUUGCUUUCACUAAGAUGUGAUAUUGAAUGAGUUACAUACAAUUUGGGCACAAGAAUAAGAUAAGUUCUAACCUCUCAUUUCCCUUAGCCACCUCAAAAUCAGAAAUAAGAUCACUUGAUUGGUCCUGAAAGACGAGCCAACAAGAAGUGGUGACCUAUUACCCCAAGCAUCGAUGCUAAAAUAAGGAAGAAAUCUUCUGUAAUUUGGUGUUAUUUUGAGAGAUUCAUCACGAAAUUUUCUGUAUGAGUUUAAGCAAGACAUUUAAUUUUCUUCACAUUAUAUGUUAAGAAACAUAGUUUCUUACUUUGUUCAAAUAAAUGGAGAGUCAUCCAAACAAAUUUUUGCAGUUAAAUGGGCCCACACUGGGGCAAAUUUUUAUUGGGAGAUUUCGUAAAAUAAACCCACACUGGGGUAAAAUUUUUGUAAUACAUUUGAGAAUUUCGUCCAAGAGUUAAGAAAGACAUUUUUGAAUCAAUCACGCUACUUUUUUCAUGAGUAAUAGUUGCAUCAAUGCAUGUUGUACUUUGGCAAGCCCCUUGUGUAGGUAUUCAUGGCUAAAAUCGGUGAAGAAUCAUCUAGUGAUGUCGAAGGCCGAUAUCAGAAAAGAAAAGAAAGAAGAUGUCGCGCCCCACUUUUUGAAAUGGUGUGAAAGUAGUGUGUAGGAUAAGUAUGUGAACGUGUGUGAAAGUAAAAAUAAAAGGCCGUGGGAUUGUGAAAUGCGACGGUUUGACCAUACAAAGGGUUUUAGAUAGAAAAGGAGUCGCCACUUGGUAUAGAGUUAGGGUGUACCAAGUCACCCGAAAAGUAAUUUUUUGGAAAGAAAAGUGAACAAACCCUUUAAAGAAUUUUUAGGUCUACGUAACCAAAGAAAAGGGAUCGGGGGUCACAUUUGAUAAGGGAGAAGGCAAAGGCAAAACCUAAGGCACUCCCUUACCCUAGCCAAAGCUAUUUGCGUGACUUAGCCCCACUUUUCCUAAUUCUUCUACCCAAAAUAUGCGUUGCAUGUUGGAUGUAACUAAUGGAUAUGAAAAAGAUGCAAUUCUAAAUCUAAAAUGUCUCUUACGAGACUUUUUGGUCCCAACCACAUGAAUUGUGAUGGCCAGUAAGGAAAGCCCUCAUAGAGGUCAUGAAUAAUGCAAAUGAAGACUCAAGUAUGAGUGUAAGUGUGCAAAUGUAAGAAAAGUGCAUGUGUGCCAAUUGAGAAAAUAAAGGUGUUUGUGUGCAAGUGGAUGAAAAUAUAGUAUAAUGGUAGUAAAUUCAUAUAAGUGCAACUGGGUGUAAUUUGUGAUGUAGAAAAAUAAAUAGGUGAUAGGGAAAGAAAAAUGUGCAAACAUGACAUGUGGAUUAAGAAAAAUAUAAGUAGUGAGAAAAUGUGGAUAAAAAAAUGAGGAGGUGAUAUGAUAGAAAUGAAAGUGUAUGAACCUAGAGGAAUGCAUCAAGUCGGGUACGGGAAUGACUCCUAAUUUCACGACUUUAACUUUCCCUUUGAUUAGAAGGAACGACUAGCGUGCUAAGGCUAUUUUGUAGCUACACUCGCUCGUUUCCCUUACCGAAAGGGGACUCUCAAGCAAAUGUACCCUAUAACUAGCAUGAGGAUGCAAAAACCUAAAAUGAAAGGGAAAGGGUUGGAGGGGCAUGCCAAAUGCUAAAAAACUAAGAAAAAUGCAUGAAAUGUAGUGAAACAUGCAAGUAUGUACCAACGAGAGGGGACGGCCUAUUGGGUCUAGCGUUGGACUAGCCCUUCACUAAAUGCUUUAUCACAAGCGUUGGACUUGUGAGGAUUAAAAGGAGGACCAUGACUAGCAUUGGACUAGCCAUGGUAGACGCAUUCAUCCAUCACAUUAUGACUAUAGAAAGCAAGUAGACAUGCAAGUCACCUAUAAACACGUAGCACAUAACACUUAGCAUGCUCGACUAAAUGCAAGAGCCUAAUAAAGCAAAUUAACACAUAGCAACAAAAGCAAGUAACCAAGCUAAUGAACCUAUUACAUUUGCUAGCUAGGCACACGUCUUCAAUAGGUCUUCAUCAAAUGCUCUCCAAGCCCUAUCUAUUACAAGCCAAGAGGUAUACACAUACCCCAAAAAAAGAAUAAUUUAAUAAAGCAAAGUAAAUGAAAUAAAUGAACGGAAUUAAGGAAAGGCAAGGAAAGCAAAGACAUGCAAAUCUCACUUAGCACGUUGGAUCACAUAGAGGAGAGACAAAAAAGGAUAAAAGAAGUUAUACCUCCCCGUUUGUGAUGUUAGUAAAGUGAACAAGACUUAACUUGGGCUAGAGUCACCAAAGAAAGAGAUAACUUGGGCUAAAAUCAUCAAAGCAAGGGAUUAAUGCACCAAUAUAAUAGUAAAGUAAAACAAAAUCACCAAAUCCCUCCUAAUUGCAACUUAAAUGAAAUCAAAUAAUGCAUAAUUUUCAAGAAAGGGACCCACCAAGGACCCAAUUGCAAACAUUAAUCAAGCACUCAAACCCAAAUAAACAUUUUAGGAACUUCAAGGGUCCAAGAGUAAAGAAAGGGUCAAGUAAUGGUUCAAAACGCAAUUACUCUGGGACCUAAUUGCAAGAAAUUAGAACGUGAUUGGGCCAUAGUAAAACAAAGGGGACUUGGGGGGUUAAGAGGCAAUUUCUGAAAGUUGUUUUUGCAUGCAAAUGCAUUGCCUGCAGCAAAAAUUCUGAUGAAAGCUUCCUGCAAUUCGGCUCUUUACAAAAACAGCUUUCAAACAUAAUCAAAUCCAAACACAACUAUCAUACUAUCCUCUCAUUUUGCAUCAUGAAAUUUGUAGAUGUAAACAUCAAAAAGUCGUACAACAAACAUGCAAAAUCUGAACAGUUCAAGAACUUCAUGCAAGGCAUUACAAAACAUUUCUGCAACAAGAAGAGACCUUCGACAGCCAGCUAAAACUUUGGGAACUUCAGCAACCUUGUGUAGCAAACAAGAAUUUUAACAAGGAGAAAGAUUCAACUUCCAAGUUCACACUAGACCUUAGGAAAUCAUUGCCAAGAUACUAUGUGAGAGAGAGACAGAACAAGGAAAACAAAAUUUGAGGUUUCAGGUUCAUUCCAAAAUUAUAUUCAAGUCAAAGUUUGCUGCUGCAAUUUUGUUUCCAACGGAUACUUCAGAUCCAAACACCAAAGUUUGAUCAAAACCUUUUCAAACAAACCUCAAAAACUUUAAAUUAAACAACACAACACAUGUAUUUGACAUCCAAACAAGUAAAAAAAAUUUAGACAGAAAUGACGCAAACUCCUGGAAAAUUUUCAUGCAAAAACGCAAUCGAAGCCGCGUCCUUCAGUAGAGCGAGGACGACAACUUUAUUUAGCCAUCUUUUCACUCAAACCCCAGCGUUUCAGAUUCAGAUAAUAAAACAUAUACCAAGGACCCAUACGAACACUAACUAAUCAAACCGGAUCAUGCACCAUUGGAAACAAAAGGCACAGCCAUGAACUUCCCGUAAUAUCUGGGUUUGAUAAUACAAGCUACCUUUCGCACAUCUAAGCAGCAAAACACAGAACCUUAUUCAGCCAAACGAGCAACAAAUUCAAUCCCAGGAAUAUGCUUCUUUUUUUUGCAGAACAGAAAAAUGCAAAACCUUGACUGACUUCAACUCUGGUAAACCAGAUUUCCAGGACAAAAACGCGAGACAGGAGCGAGAAAAAAGAAAAACAGCACAAAGGAAAUAGUCCGAGACAACCACAAUUUCGAAAACAGAUUUCAGCAAAACUCCAUCUUGAAAAAAAACUUGGACUGGGCACUUCCUAAGCUAAACGAACAUAUCCAUGAUAGUAAUAAACAAAUAAAUAAAAAAUACAGUCUGGGCGGAUGUACAAAACUGACUUUGCAACCCAAAUCUUGAAACGAACAGAGAAAAGAUUGAAGAUUACCUAUUUCACUGCUAUCGGACUCGAAUCUGCAGCAGGAAACCGUAGGAGAUUGAAUACGCACCACCAGAGGAAACGCACCACCAGAGAUUGAAGGAGAUGAGUUUGCAGAUUUCGGUGAAGAGAACGCGAACGUGAGACUUUGACCUCUGGGUUUCUUCACUGUCUCUUUCCUUUGCCCGACAGUUUUCUUUCUUCCCUAGCCCAAGCUACGUUCUUUUCCUACUAAAACCCUAAUCGCUCUUGGAUUCUCAGCUGCCAACCUCAUUCUUAGUUCCCCCCCAAAACCUAGCUCUCACGUUCCCUUUUUCCAGCCGCUGUAUCUCUCCCUCUCUCGUCAGGCCCUUGCUGUCUUUUUUUCUUCAGCCGCCAAAUGGCCUCCCCCUCUUUCUUGCGGUCUCUUUCCUUUUAUAUAGGAACCCCCAACCCCUAAACCCUCACCUCAAAGGUGAGGAUGAAGGGUGGGUUUCCACCAAAUAUUUCAGCCAUCCAAUCCAGACAAAGCUCCCAUGAAAAAUAUAAGUACCGAAAAUGAUAUUUCUUCCUGUCGCUGCAUGCGCGACUCUUCUUUUUUUCUUUUUUUUUGGUGACAAGUAAUUUAAAAAAAGUUAAUAAAAUUAAGUAAAACAAAAACAACAAUUUUAAGUAACAUCGGACAAAAAUAAACAAACUAGAAACAACAAAGUUGCGAUUUUUCAUUUUUCUUUUCUUUUCUUCAUUUUUCAUUUUCAUCGUUUUUUCCCUUUUUUUUCUUUCUUUUUUUUUCAAGAAAACGUUGAAUUUAAAUAAAAACAACCAAAGUAUAUUUUUUGAAUGCUUUUUCUUUCUUUCUUUUUUUUCGAGAAAUUCUAUGCUAAAACUUAAAAAUAAUAAUAAAAUAAAAAGCUAAAAACUAAAAACUAAAAAGUGAAUAAACCUAACACGACAAAUAAAAACUAAAUAAAUAGUAAAUGAAAUUACACUAAAAUUUUGGUGUCUACAGUUUGCCCCUCUUUGUCUGAGUUUUGGAAAAACUUGAGACAAAAAAGUAGACACCAAAUACUCACCUGUGUUAUUUGGCGGUGAAAACGUCUCGAACAAUGGACGCUUUAGAAAUGGGGACUGACCCGAACAAGAAUUUAAAACGGGACUGGCCCGAACAGGAAUUUAAAACGGGACUGACCCGAACAAGAAUUUAAAACGGGACUGACCCGAAUAGGAAAUUUAAAACGGGACUGACCCGAACAAGGAAUUUUGAAACGGGACUAACCCGAACAGGAAUUUAAACGGGACUCGCCCGAACAGAAAUGUAAAUGGGAUAGACCCAAGGGAUGGACCCAAACAGAAAUGUAAAUGGGAUAGACCCAAACAGAAAUGUAAAUGGGAUAGACCCAAACAGAAAUGUAAAUGGGAUAGACCCAGGGGAUAGACCCGAACGGAAAUGUAAAUGAGAUAGACCAACCGGAUAGACCCGGACCCGGACGGAAAUGUAAAUGGGAUAGAUCCACGGGAUAGACCCGGACAGAAAUGUAAAUGGGAUAGACCCACGGGAUAGACCCGGAUAGAAAUGUAAAUGGGAUAGACCCACGUUUAGUGAAAAUGAAAAUGAAAUGCACACUAGUGGGACUGACCCACGGCUAGUGGCGAUGAAACUGAAAUGCACAUUAGAGGGAUUGACCCACGGCUAGUGGUAGUGGAAACAAAAUGCACGCUAGUGGGACUGACCCAUGUUUAGCGGCAAUAAAGAUAAAAUGCUCACUAGUGGGACUGAUCCAACGGCUAGUGGCGAAAUAAAAGAAAUGCGCACUAGUGGGACUGACCCAACGGCUAGCGGCAGAAUAAAAGAAAUGCGCACUAGUGGGACUGACCCAACGGUUAGUGGCGAAAUAAAAGAAAUGCACACUAGUGGGACUGACCCAACGGCUAGUGGCAGUAUAAAAGAAAUGCUGGUAUGUAUGAAGAAACUGUAUAAGACUUGCUCGAAAAAUUAUCCAAGGAUUUGCUCCAGUGUGAUGAAUUGGUCAGUGGGAUAACACCCGAGCCUGCCUUCAUUUAGUUGGUUAGUGGGAUAACACCCGAGUCUGCUGUGAUAAUCGGAAAUAGAAAGGCACAUUAGCGGGACGAACUCAAUGCUAUUGGAGAUAAACUAAAACAACACACACGUUAGUGAGAUAGACCCGAUGCUAACGGUGGUGGAAUAAAAAUGCACACGUUAGUGAGAUAGACUCGAUGCUAACGAUGGUAGAAUAAAAACGCACACGUCAGUGAGAUAGACUCGAUGCUAACGGUGGCGGAAUAAAAAUGCACACGUUAGUGAGAUAGACUCGAUGCUAACGGUGGCGGAAUAAAAAUGCACACGUUAGUGAGAUAGACUCCAUGCUAACGGUGAAAGAAUGAAAAUGCACGCGUUAGUGAGAUAGACUCGAUGCUAAUGGGGUUGAAUAAAAACGCACGCGUCAGUGAGAUAGACUCGAUGCUAACGGUGGCGGGAUAAAAAAUGCACACGUUAGUGAGAUAGACUCGAUGCUAACAGUGAUAGAAUGAAAACGCACGUGUUAGUGAGAUAGACUCGAUGCUAACGGUGGUAGAAUAAAAACGCACACGUUAGUGAGAUAGACUCGAUGCUAACGGUGACGGAAUAAAAAUGCACACGUUAGUGAGAUAGACUCGACGUUAACGGUGGCAGAAUAAAAACGCACACGUUAGUGAGAUAGACUCGAUGCUAACGGUGGUGAAAUAAAACGCACACGUUAGUGAGAUAGACUCUAUGCUAACGGUGGUUGAAAUAAAACGCACACGUUAGUGAGAUAGACUCGAUGCUAACGGUGGUUGAAGUCAGUGAAUUAAAUGUGGUUGUCAAGAAAGGGGGUAGAAGGGUGCGCGGCGGACGUUGAGACUCGCCAACAAGAAAAUAAAAUCUGAUUUUGAAAAAUGAUUUUUAUUUUUUCCGUUUUUUCCUUUUCGUUUAGGAGAAACUUUUCAAGAAAUAAUUUUGCCCCAGUCUCCACCACUUUAUUGUGCAACCGAUCAUUUGAUUUGCAUUAUGGCAGGGUUGCUCCUCCUUAAAACUUUGAUUCACCACUUCUUUGGUCCGAACCCCUCAGUCAUAUAAAAAUUCUUGGGCGACAUUCCUCAGUUCUAAAAAAGUUACCCCAGUUUCGUCCUUUGAAACGCGUAUGAACCUGCAAAAGAAAGAACAAAUAAUGCCACCACCAUUCGAUCAAUUCCUCCUUCAAGAAAUGUGUAAACAUGAAUACUUUGAUGUUUUCCCCUUGAUACUUCGAAAACUCAACUUUGCUCUGUGAUCUGAUCAAAUUCCAUUGACUUCCAAUGCUAAUAAGGCCCUUGGUAUCCAGGGAUUUUCAAUAAAUCAGGGGGAUUUCCAUCUGAUGAACCUAAAGAGAUAAAUAAAACCAUGAAACUGAUGAAAGAAUAUUCUAUUUACACAACAAAUGAUGAAAAUUUCUGUAGCAUGAAAACAAUCAUUUAUUUUUUGAAAGAAAAUUAAUUUUAAAGAAAUGAAUCUAUAAAUUCUACAAUUUUCGCUUGAAAAACCAAAGUAUUCCGACUUCAAACAAAAUGCCACGCUUGACCCUUUAGAUAUCAUCCGCCCUGAGCUUAAUGUCGGCAACAGAAAAACCACAAUGCGAGGAGGAAUCCCAAAUGAACCGAAUCACUAGCUUUCUAAUUCCAACCUCACUUUUUCUCAUGAAACUCUACCUUAGCGCCCUUUUAGGUUUUCACUAAGGCUAUUCCCAUUUUUUUUUUGCUCUUUUUUUUUCAUUUUGUUUGCUUUUUUUUCUUUUUUUUCUUUUCUUUUCAAAGGUGCCCUUUUCAGAUUUUCACCUGAUGAACAAAUCUUGCCAAUAGCCUUUAUCAACUCAAAAAAUGUGUUUUAAGAAAUAAUGGCAUCAGUGCGACAACCCCUUCCCUUACAACAUGAGUGAAAGUGUAUUGACAUCAUUUGCCAUGUGAUUUAGAAAAUUUUCUUAAAAGAGGUGAUGCCAAGAAUGGAAGCCAGAACUUUUUGGCUUUUGUAAUGGGGUCUGGUGAGGUGCUAGAAAAGGUUAAAGCUUGAAGGCAGACUUCAAAAAGUGGUUUAAAUGAUCUGAGAUCGCAUUUUCAUGCUAACCCUAUUUUAGGGUUAAAUCAAAAUUUGCCUCAAUUUAUUCUCAACUGAGGUUCUCUUUUCUUUCAUUUUCCUUCCUUUCUUCUGUCAUUCCAUUCAUCUUUUGAAAUAUUCACAAUUUGCCCCAGUUUAUUUUUUAACUGAGGUUUUCUUUUAUUCAUUUCUUUUUCUUUCGGCUUUCUUUCGAAUAUUGAAUUUGCCCCAGUAUGGGGUUUUUCUUUUCUUUUUCAAAACUACAUUUGCCCCAGUGUGGGGUUUGCGAUCUUCAGGGGUUGCCAAAUGAAGUAAUUUAUUUUGAAGGCUCAAAAGGGAUGACUAAGGAUAAAAUGUCUCAAUGGGAAAAGAAGAAGGCCUGAUUUUCAUUCCAUUCUUUGCAUUAACCCUUGAAAGGAAACUUUCAUUUAUCAGAUGAAGAAUUUCUUACACACAUAUCCGAAUUGAUCGGUUGAGGGAAAAUUUGUCCACUCCACUUCUGCGAGAACUAAUACUCUGCCAUGCAACACCUUCUUGAUAAUAAAAGAACCUUGCCCAUUCGCGGUGAACUCUUCUUUUGGCUUUAUCUCAUAUCGACAAAAGCUACCUCAAUGCUUUAUUUCUUUGGGCCAUUCUCUUUUGAUAGCACUGACAAUGACGAAUGGCAUUCAGAUGCUUCUUAUCAAGUGACCACUGAAAUCGUGAUCCCACUCCAGCUUGAGUUUCUCUUUAUGUGUUCCUUUGAAACAUUAUCUGAUGUCUCUUCGCUAUUCCCCUCAUUUUGAAAUCCAAAUUCACAUUCAUGAAAUAUCAAGUUUCGGAACAGUGAUAUCCAAAAGAUUAGAGGAUUUUAUUCUUGGCCAUCUGAAAAGAAUGGGUAAGUAAUAUAGUAUAUAUAAAACUAUAUAUUUUAAAUUUCAAAGGAAGGACAAAACGUCAUAAUACACUAUUUAACAAAAAACACGCUAUUUAACAUAAGAUUUGUAUUGAAAAGACAUUUGAGUUAAAACUAUUUACAAAACGAAAAUGCAAAAGAUGAACAAUGCUGAUGAUUUCUCCCAUAAUUCAUAAUCAAAGACAAUCCUCUAGAUUUACCAAAAUUCCCUUCGGGAGGGAAUGUGAUUUGCAAUCCAGUUUUAGAUGGCUAUGUCAAGCACAAAAGGCUUCUGGACUAUUUUGAUUACUUCAUUCUCCCCCACAAUGUAUUUGGCAGGCUGCUCAAACUCCUCUUCAGUGAUGAUGGCCGCUAUAGUAUCCUUGUGCGCAGGAAAAGGGUUUUCGCCGACACUUGGUCCUUGUUCAUUUCUCCUUCUCAAAAUUAUGUCUCCGGCCUCAAUCAUGUCUUGAAUUUUAUGUUUAAGUACCCAACAAUUGGCAGUAGAAUGUCCAGGAGCUCCAGAAUGAUAGGCACACGCGGCUUGAGGGUCGUACCCAGAAGAGAGACCUCGACGAGAGUAGUUUGGAGGAGGUAUGUCAUCAAUUUCACUGGCGGCCUUGAGCUGUUCGUAUAGUUGGUCAAUGGGUCGGCCUAAGUUGGUAAAAGUUCGAAAUCGACCCGGUUUUUGUAUUUUAUUGGUUUGAGGAGGGUUGUAAGUCUGUUGGUUUGAUGGAGUAGGUCUGGGAUUAUAAGGUAGACAAGGUUGAAUUUGAGCAUUGUUGUGAGACAUUGGGAAGGGUAUUGUAGGUGGGCUUGCACAGUUCUGCCGAGGUCGAGGGUGAUUGGUAGUAGUAUGAUAAACAGGGCGUGGGUUUGGGUAGCGAGAUGAAUAUGUAUGGUAACGUUGGGAUUUGGGUCUUGAAAACGGUCCUUGGCCCCACACAAAAGUAGUUUCCUCCUCUUUCUUCUGGAGUUGAGUCUCCCUUUUGUUAUUACUCUGACCUUGCAAGGCGUCCAACUGUGAUUUUAAAGCUGAUACAUUGACAAUUUUCCCUGCUUUAACGUAUUCGUCAUAUUCCUCCAACUUAUUGAUAAUUGCUGCAAAUGAACACCCGGUCAUGCGAAAAAUUUCCCCAAAGUAGGGCGGGUCAUGAGUUUUGAUGAACGUACGAACAAUCUCAUCUUCAAUCAUAGGAGGCUCCACCUUGGCGGCCAAUUUCCUUCAUCUUUUUGCAUACGUCUUAUGAUCCUCCGAUGGUUUCCUCUUGGUCCCCUCCAAUGUGGUCCUCAUGGGAGCCAGCUCGCAAUUGUAUUCGUACUGCCUCAUAAAAGCAGUUGACAAAUCCAUCCAAGAUCUCAUAUCCUCAGGCUUCAAAUUGGAAUACCAAUCCAACGCGUCGCCUUCUAGACUCUCGGGAAAUAAGCGCAUAGGUAGAUUCUCAUCAUCUAUUGGCUUCCCUAGCUUGUUUGCAAACAUCCUAAGGUGUGUUUUGGGAUUGCCAGUUCCAUCGUACUUGCUAAAUUUGGGUGCUUUGAAACCCAUUGGCAAUUGCAUAUUCAGAAACAGGCACGGCUCGUUGUAGUCCAAACCUCCUUGCUUGUUCAAACCUUGGUUUUUCCUUAUGAACUUUUCAAACCGAUCCAAUCUCUUUAGCAAGUUUUUAUCCACUGGCGCGGAUGAUUCCCCAACUUCAACUUUUCCUUGGGCAGUGGUAUCUAAGGUGAAUGGCUCAGCGGUCGAGUAAUAAUGGGGUCCCUGAGGUUCGAAUGGCAUGCUCAUAGUAAUUGGCGGAUACCUUUGGAGAAUUUGGGCAUGAGGGGGGUUAAUUUGAACGUUAGGUGCAUAAGCAGGUGGUGGGUCAUGAGUGGGAUAGGUAAAGGCUUCUUCAGGUGGAUUUAUGACAUGUGAAGUAACAGGAGCUUGAGUAUAGGGUAAGAGUAUUGGUUGAGAUUCAGAUUGGCCAGGGGGUAAAGGCUCAUGGUAUUGCUCGCCGCUAGCACCACCAGUGACCAAUUGGUCGAUCACGCGCUGUUGGGCCACCAUUUCAACGUUUAGUUCAUUAAAUCGGUUGAGAACUUCGUUCAGCUGAGCUCCCAGAUUCUCCAAAUCAGUUGAUGAUGUUGUUACGGGCCUAUCAGAUGGUUCUGGAUGGGUACUCAUGUUUACACUUUCUCUUAAAAUUCGGCUAUGUGAUCGGGUAAUAAUGGGGUUUCUUUGUGGAGCAAUAUUUGUGAUUACUACCUGAGAGUGUAAGAAAACCCUUAUUAGAUGCCCUUCUUGAUUGACUGUUGUCAAAAAGAAAGAAGAAGGAGAAAAAAGGAAAAGAAAAAGAUAGGAGUUAGUAAAAAUUAAAGUAAUUUGGAUGCAUGUCCUAUUGGGGGGCCCUUUUAGUGCCAAAGGUAGGCCUAGCAUGAGAAUGCAAUCCUCUGAGGUAGGCACUAUACCCUACCUGAUGAAUCCGAUCAACUCAUUGACAGUUGGUUGGAAAGCAAUUUGAAAAUUUUGGGCCAAUUGAACAGCAGGAAACCUUUAAAUGAAGGAAUGGUUUUGGUUGGCACAGGAAUUUGUACUAAUAAAUUUAAUUUUGACAACUUGAUAUUGGACCAUUUUUUUUUACAUGGGUCAAAACCCUAGUUAAUCCAAAUCAAAUAAAUGCAAUGGGUGAUUUUGAUUGAUUUUUUUUUAAAAAAAAUCAACUAGGUUUCUCAAAUUGAAAUUUGACAUUAAAACCCUAAUUAGUCGACUGGGUUGGAUGAUUUAUUCAAAAAUGAACCGGAACACCUAAAAAAGUGUAAAAUGGUCAAGUGCAUUGAGUGAAAUUUGAUUAUUUAUUCAAAAUUGAAUGGAUAACCCUAAAAAUAAAUUAAACUAAUCAAAUGAAUUGAAUGAAAUCAAUUGAUCAAGCAGAUCGAGUGAAAUGAUGAUUUAUUCAACAUCGACCGAAUUGCCCUAAAACUAGGCAAAUUGGUCAAAUGGAUAGGACGAAAUUGAUGAUCUCUUCAAAAUCGACUCGAUUGCCCUAAAAAUGGGUAUAUUGGCCAAAUGAAUGAAAUGGAAUUGAUGAUCUCUUCAAAAUCAACCGGAUCACCCAAAAAGGGUAAAUUGGUCAAAUGAAUUGAUUGGAUUUGAUGAUUUAUUCAAAAAUCGACCAGAUCGCCCAAUAAGGGUAAAUUUGUCAAAUGAAUUGAUUGAUGAUUUAUUCAAAAAUGGGUUGAAUUGUCCACCUAUUGGCAAUUUUCAAAAAUUCAUUGCGAUGCAUUAGUGUAUGAGCCUCCUAAAAUCAAGAUUUGGCCUCAAUUUAUCGUCUCAACAAUGAGGAAUCAUUUGUGAAUUACUUCGAAUUAUUGUCCUUUACACAAGGGAUGUUUACCAAUUAUGUUAAAACGGCCAAAAAGUGAUUAUUAGACGCUCAUAUUCCAAGAAUCACUUUAUGAAAAUGAUCGGAUCUUACCUUACCUUGUGCACUACCCCUUCGGAUGGUACAAAAUAUAAACGUGCAAGUCUCCUUGGAUUAAGUAUCCGAGACAUAAGGUGGUUUUAUUCCUGACACGGGAUCCCCUAAAUGGCAUUCCCUUUCUAGGGUGGAUGCAUGAUGCCAUUUAUUAAGGCGAUGUAAAUAUGUGACAAAUAUGUCCUAAAGGACAUAAAUAAUGCAUCGGGGGGAAAAGGUCUAAAAAUGAAAUGUACUUAUUGAAAAUUAAGUGUAAUAACUGAAAUUUAAACAUGUGAAUUAUCUAGUGGGUAAGUCACUAAAAGAGUGCCAAAGAAGCCUCUUAUUGCUAAGGCACAUGAAUGCAAGCCAAGAAAACAAUGAAAUGGUUAGUGCAAUUGAUAGUACACAUAACAUAUUGGGAGCAAUUAAGAAAAGAAAUAUAAUAAAAGCAUGUAAAAAGGGUGGAACCCCUUCCCUCGUGCCUAAUGUGCCUAAAAAAAAGGGAGGCUGAUUCUAACCUAGGAACUCUAACAUGGAUGCAUGAGGCUGGGGCUCACUAAUGCAACUAGACUCGAUAAAGUUUUAAAAAGGUCCCCAAGCCUUCAGACCUAAGGGAAUGGGUCAUCAAUCCCAAGACCCUCGGUCGGUGGCUCGAGCGAUCCCCUAGGUACUGCGAUGGGCGCAGAGCACACCAUCCACAUACCUAGAGAAACCAUUCCUAGUCCUACAAGACGGUGUGGGAAAGAGCCCACGAAAAUAAAAUAAAAUGGGAUAACAGUAAAUAAACGUGCACGUAUGAAGUGUUCCCUAUUUUGAGGGAAAGGGUUGAAACCCAACGCGAGACUCUAAAGGUGACACCCCCCCCCCAAAUGCAAUGCAAAGUGCGAGAUAAAACAAGUAAAACAUACAUCCAAGCAACCAAUCAUACAUACGUGAGUGAGGGAGUAGUUUGAUACGCGCGCGAGGCAAAAGGUCCUCAAAUGGAAGAUGCAACCCUAAUAUCCAAAUGUUACGCAUAACAAGGGUAGAAAACGGAAAAGAAUGGCUAAAUCAAAUGCUUGGACCCACUUAGGAAGUCCCCAGUGGAGUCGCCAAGCUGUCGCGCGCCCACUUUUUGAAAUGGUGUGAAAGUAGUGUGUAGGAUAAGUAUGUGAACGUGUGUGAAAGUAAAAAUAAAAGGCCGUGGAAUUGUGAAAUGCGACAGUUUGGCCACACAAAGGGUUUUAGAUAGAAAAGGAGUCGCCACUUGGUAUAGAGUUAGGGUGUACCAAGUCACCCAAAAAGUGAUUUUUUGGAAAAGAAAAGUGAACAAACCCUUUAAAGAAUUUUUAGGUCUACGUAACCAAAGAAAAGGGAUCAGGGGUCACAUUUGAUAAGGGAGAAGGCAAAGGCAAAGCCUAAGGCACUCCCUUACCCUAGCCAAAGCUAGUUGCGUGACUUAGCCCCACUUUUCCUAAUUCUUCUACCCAAAAUAUGCGUUGCAUGUUGGAUGUAACUAAUGGAUAUGAAAAAGAUGCAAUCCUAAAUCUAAAAUGUCUCUUAUGAGGCUUUUUGGUCCCAACUACAUGAAUUGUAAUGGCCAGUAAGGAAAGCCCUCAUAGAGGUCAUGAAUAAUGCAAAUGAAGAAUCAAGUAUGAGUGUAAGUGUGCAAAUGUAAGAAAAGUGCAUGUGUGCCAAUUGAGAAAAUAAAGGUGUUUGUGUGCAAGUGGAUGAAAAUAUAGUAUAAUGGUAGUAAAUGCAUAUAAGUGCAACUGGGUGUAAUUUGUGAUGUAGAAAAAUAAAUAGGUGAUAGGGAAAGAAAAAUGUACAAACAUGACAUGUGGAUUAAGAAAAAUAUAAGUAGUGAGAAAAUGUGGAUAAAAAAAAUGAGGAGGUGAUAUGAUAGAAAUGAAAGUGUAUGAACCUAGAGGAAUGCAUCAAGUCGGGUACGGGAAUGACUCCUAAUUUCACGACUUUAAUUUUCCCUUUGAUUAGAAGGAAGGACUAGCGUGCUAAGGCUAUUUUGUAGCCACACUCGCUCGUUUCCCUUACCGAAAGGGGACUCUUAAGCAAAUGUACCCUAUAACUAGCAUGAGGAUGCAAAAACCUAAAAUGAAAGGGAAAGGAUUGGAGGGGCAUGCCAAAUGCUAAAAAACUAAGAAAAAUGCAUGAAAUGUAGUGAAACAUGCAAGUAUGUACCAACGAGAGGGGAUGGCCUAUUGGGUCUAGCGUUGGACUAGCCCUUCACUAAAUGCUUUAUCACAAGCGUUGGACUUGUGAGGAUUAAAAUGGAGGACCAUGACUAGCAUUGGACUAGCCAUGGUAGACGCAUUCAUCCAUCACAUUAUGACUAUAGAAAGCAAGUAGACAUGCAAGUCACCUAUAAACACGUAGCACAUAACACUUAGCAUGCUCGACUAAAUACAAGAGCCUAAUAAAGCAAAUUAACACAUAGCAACAAAAGCAAGUAACCAAGCUAAUGAACCUAUUACAUUUGCUAGCUAGGCACACGUCUUCAAUAGGUCUUCAUCAAAUGCUCUCCAAGCCCUAUCUAUUACAAGCCAAGAGGUAUACACAUACCCCAAAAAAAGAAUAAUUUAAUAAAGCAAAGUAAAUGAAAUAAAUGAACGGAAUUAAAGAAAGGCAAGGAAAGCAAAGACAUGCAAAUCUCACUUAGCACGUUGGAUCACAUAGAGGAGAGACAAAAAAGGAUAAAAGAAGUUAUACCUCCCCGUUUGUGAUGUUAGUAAAGUGAACAAGACUUAACUUGGGCUAGAGUCACCAAAGAAAGAGAUAACUUGGGCUAAAAUCAUCAAAGCAAGGGAUUAAUGCACCAAUAUAAUAGUAAAGUAAAACAAAAUCACCAAAUCCCUUCUAAUUGCAACUUAAAUGAAAUCAAAUAAUGCAUAAUUUCCAAGAAAGGGACCCACCAAGGACCCAAUUGCAAACAUUAAUCAAGCACUCAAACCCAAUUAAACAUUUUAGGAACUUCAAGGGUCCAAGAGUAAAGAAAGGGUCAAGUAAUGGUUCAAAACGCAAUUACUCUAGGACCUAAUUGCAAGAAAUUAGAACAUGAUUGGGCCAUAGUAAAACAAAGGGGACUUGGGGGGUUAAGAGGCAAUUUCUGAAAGUUGUUUUUGCAUGCAAAUGAAUUGCCUGCAGCAAAAAUUUUGAUGAAAGCUUCCUGCAAUUCGGCUCUUUACAAAAACAGCUUUCAAACAUAAUCAAAUCCAAACACAACUAUCAUACUAUCCUCUCAUUUUGCAUCAUGAAAUUUGUAGAUGUAAACAUCAAAAAGUCGUACAACAAACAUGCAAAAUCUGAACAGUUCAAGCAACUUCAUGCAAGGCAUUACAAAACAUUUCUGCAACAAGAAGAGACCUUCGACAGCCAGCUAAAACUUUGGGAACUUCAGCAACCUUGUGUGGCAAACAAGAAUUUUAACAAGGAGAAAGAUUCAACUUCCAAGUUCACACUAGACCUUAGGAAAUCAUUGCCAAGAUACUAUGUGAGAGAGAGACAGAACAAAGAAAACAAAAUUUGAGGUUUGAGGUUCAUUCCAAAAUUAUAUUCAAGUCAAAGUUUGCUGCUGCAAUUUUGUUUCCAACGGAUACUUCAGAUCCAAACACCAAAGUUUGAUCAAAACCUUUUCAACCAAACCUCCAAAAACUUUAAAUUAAACAACACAACACAUGUAUUUGACAUCCAAACAAGUAAAAAAAACUUAGACAGAAAUGACGCAAACUGCUGGAAAAUUUUCAUGCAAAAACGCAAUCGAAGCCGCGUCCUUCAGUAGAGCGAGGACGACAACUUUAUUUAGCCAUCUUUUCACUCAAACCCCAGCGUUUCAGAUUCAGAUAAUAAAACAUAUACCAAGGACCCAUACGAACACUAACUAAUCAAACCGGAUCAUGCACCAUUGGAAACAAAAGGCACAGCCAUGAACUUCCCGUAAUAUCUGUGUUUGAUAAUACAAGCUACCUUUCGCACAUCUAAGCAGCAAAACACAGAACUUUAUUCAGCCAAACGAGCAACAAAUUCAAUCCCAGGAAUAUGCUUCUUUUUUUUGCAGAACAGAAAAAUGCAAAACCUUGACUGACUUCAACUCUGGUAAACCAGAUUUCCAGGACAAAAACGCGAGACAGGAGCGAGAAAAAAGAAAAACAGCACAAAGGAAAUAGUCCGAGACAACCACAAUUUCGAAAACAGAUUUCAGCAAAACUCCAUCUUGAAAAAAAACUUGGACUGGGCACUUCCUAAGCUAAACGAACAUAUCCAUGAUAGUAAUAAACAAAUAAAUAAAAAAUACAGUCUGGGCGGAUGUACAAAACUGACUUUGCAACCCAAAUCUUGAAACGAACAGAGAAAAGAUUGAAGAUUACCUAUUUCACUGCUAUCGGACUCGAAUCUGCAGCAGGAAACCGUAGGAGAUUGAAUACGCACCACCAGAGGAAACGCACCACCAGAGAUUGAAGGAGAUGAGUUUGCAGAUUUCGGUGAAGAGAACGCGAACGUGAGACUUUGACCUCUGGGUUUCUUCACUGUCUCUUUCCUUUGCCCGACAGUUUUCUUUCUUCCCUAGCCCAAGCUACGUUCUUUUCCUACUAAAACCCUAAUCGCUCUUGGAUUCUCAGCUGCCAACCUCAUUCUUAGUUCCCCCCCAAAACCUAGCUCUCACGUUCCCUUUUUCCAGCCGCUGUAUCUCUCCCUCUCUCGUCAGGCCCUUGCUGUCUUUUUUUCUUCAGCCGCCAAAUGGCCUCCCCCUCUUUCUUGCGGUCUCUUUCCUUUUAUAUAGGAACCCCCAACCCCUAAACCCUCACCUCAAAGGUGAGGAUGAAGGGUGGGUUUCCACCAAAUAUUUCAGCCAUCCAAUCCAGACAAAGCUCCCAUGAAAAAUAUAAGUACCGAAAAUGAUAUUUCUUCCUGUCGCUGCAUGCGCGACUCUUCUUUUUUUCUUUUUUUUUGGUGACAAGUAAUUUAAAAAAAGUUAAUAAAAUUAAGUAAAACAAAAACAACAAUUUUAAGUAACAUCGGACAAAAAUAAACAAACUAGAAACAACAAAGUUGCGAUUUUUCAUUUUUCUUUUCUUUUCUUCAUUUUUCAUUUUCAUCGUUUUUUCCCUUUUUUUUCUUUCUUUUUUUUUCAAGAAAACGUUGAAUUUAAAUAAAAACAACCAAAGUAUAUUUUUUGAAUGCUUUUUCUUUCUUUCUUUUUUUUCGAGAAAUUCUAUGCUAAAACUUAAAAAUAAUAAUAAAAUAAAAAGCUAAAAACUAAAAACUAAAAAGUGAAUAAACCUAACACGACAAAUAAAAACUAAAUAAAUAGUAAAUGAAAUUACACUAAAAUUUUGGUGUCUACGGAAGAAGGGCCCACACUGGAGCAAAUUAUUUUUGGAAAGAUUCUCUAAAUCAAAAUCAAAAAAUAAAAAAAAAUCCAAAAACAAAAAAAAAUCAAAAAAUCAAAAAAAGUCAAAAAAUCACAAAAUCAAAAAGUCAAAAAAUCACAAAAUAAAAAUUCACCCAAAAAAAAUCAAAAAUCAAUCAAAAAUCAAAAAUCCUAAAAUCCAAAAAAAAAAAAAAGAAGAGGGAAAAGGAAAGCAGGGUAAGCUUAGUGAAGACCCAAAGGGGCACUGAGAUAGGUUUUCCCAAGGAAGGCGAAGAAGGUCCGUACUCGUUUUAAAUAACGAAACUGAGGCAAAUUUUUGAAUUGUGAGAUGUCGUUCAAGAAUUGAAUAAUUCAUGGUUCGAACUGAGGAAAUUCGAAUCAAGGCCUUAAGAAGAAGCAACAAUGUCACAAUGCAAAGCAAAUGAUUGGUUGUACAGAAUUGAUUCAAACUAGGGCAAUUUUUGAAAAAUUUCUCAGGUAAGUAUUCAAGAACUUUUUCAUAUAUUAACGUGUCUUUAUCACCGUUAGCAUUGAGUAUUGACUCACUAACAUGUGUUUUAUUUUUUCAUAUCCGUUAGCAUCGACUCUAACCCACUAACGUGUGUUUUGUCUUUUAUCACCAUUAGCACUGAGUAUUGACUCACUAACGUGUGUUUUAUUUUUUCAUAUCCGUUAGCAUCGGGUCCAACCCACUAACGUGUGUUUUGUCUUUUAUCACCGUUAGUAUUGAGUAUUGACUCACUAACGUGUGUUUUUAUUUUUUCAUAUCCGUUAGCAUCAGGUCCAACCCAUUAAAGUGUGUUUUGUCUUUUAUCACCAUUAGCAUUGAGUAUUGAUUCACUAACGUGUGUUUUAUUAUAUCUGUUAGCAUCGGAUUUAACCCACUAACGUGUGUCGUGUCUUUAUCACCGCUAGCAUUGAGUAUUGACUCACUAACGUCUGUUUUUGUUUUUUGAUAUCCAUUAGCAUCGGGUCCAACCCACUAACGUGUGUUUUGUCUUUUAUCACCGUUAGCAUUGAGUAUUGACUCACUAACGUGUGUUUUAUUUUUUCAUAUCCGUUAGCAUCGGGUUUAACCCACUAACGUGUCCUUAUCACCGUUAGCAUUGAGUAUUGACUCACUAACGUGUCUUUUUGUUUUAUUUAUAUUCGUUAGAAUUGGGUUCAAUCCACUAACGUGCCCACCGUUAGCAUCGAGUACAACUCACUAACGUGUGUUUUGUCUUUCAUCACUAUUAGUAUCGAGUAUUGACUCACUAACGUGUGUUUUAUUCAUAUCCGUUAGCAUUGAGUUCAACCUACUAAUGUGUCCACCGUUAGCAUCGAGUACAACUCACUAACGUGUCCUUUUGUUUUAUUCAUAUCCGUUAGCAUUGGGUUGUAUCCCACCAAUCUUGGCAGGCUUGAGUUUGAUCCCACUGACCGUUUUUAUCUUGUUGGACUUGGGUUGUAUCCCACCAACCUCGAUAGGUUUGGAUUCGAUCCCACUGACCGUGUUUUUAUCUUAUUGGGCUUGGGUUGUAUCCCACCAAUCUCGACAGGCUGGGGUUUGAUCCCACUGACCGUGUUUUUUAUCUUGUUGGGCUUGGGUUGUAUCCCACCAACCUCGGUAGGCUUGGGUUUGAUCCCACUGACCGUGUUUUUAUCUUGUUGGGUUUGGGUUGUGUCCCACUAACCCUUUUGAUUUUAGGUUUAGAUUUUCCAACCCAUUAGAUUUAUCUAGUUGUUUCUAUUUUAGUUGAGUCAGAGCUAACAGAUAAAUAAUUUGGUGUCUAUGUCUUUGUCUCGAAUUUCUUCGAAAUCCAAACAAAGAGGGGCAAGCUGUAGACACCAAAAUUUUACCAGUUUUUAUUUAUUUAUUUAUUUAUUUAUUCAAUCUUUUCAUAUUUUUAUUUUUAUUUUAUUUUUAAUUUAUUUUUGUUUCAUUUUAUAUUUCUUGAGAAAAAUCAUUUUAGAAAAUCAAAAAAAAAAACGCGCGUGUGUGCGUGGGCGCACACCUUCUUCUUCACGGAGCUGGUACAAAAACCAGCAAAUAGUACCGAUUUCCAGCUGCCAUUUUCCACCCACUUUUGGGCAUUUGUAUUUCCCUUUCAACCCUUCAGUACCAAACCACGUAACCCAAUCCCAAUUGACAAGAAGCUUCCAGAUUAAAAGCCAUCUAAUGGCUUGAAAUGGACCAAAAACGCAUUUCUAAAUCUGAUCCCUAGAUGCUAGGUUUUUGGGGUGUUUUGAGUGGCCAUAAAAAGGCUCCAAAAAGAACGCAGAAGGUAGGAGGGGCGGCGGAACAAGGAAUAGAGAGAGAAAAACAGAGAGAAAUGGGAGAAAUCGAGAGAGAAAAGAAGGAGAACAAUUUCUGCAAAAAAAUUUCGUCGGGAAGGUUGGCGAAACAGCUCCAUUUCCGGUCAAAUUACAAUCUAAUCUCCAACUCUUAGAGCGAGAUUUCUUUUCCUUCACCUACUACGUAUAUUUGGGAACAAAUUUUAUUCAGAAAUCGUUCAGUGAAAACGCCUUCGAGGUGACCAAAUCGAAGCUCCAAAGUUGCUGCUUUAAUGCUCCCGGCUCAAACUACAACCUUGCGGAGCACUUCGUCAAAUCCACUUCCGUCUGUGUUUGUUCGCUCAAAUCCGGUCCCAAAAACUUCAUCAGGUAACCAUAACACUCUUUCUCGCUUGGUUUAACACAUUUUUAUGAAGAACAUGACCCCUUGGACGUGAGUUUGAACUUUGUUGCUGCUGGGUUUGUUUCAUGUUUCUACCAUGCUUGACUUCAGAUUAUUUUAUUGAUUAUGGCCUGUUCAUGUUUAUGUUUAGCAUUGGGUUGUGAAAUAAAACACAUAAGUUAUAAGAGCUAGCUUACUUGGGAAACUCGUUUCGUGCGUUUGGUGGAAAUGAAACCCAGAAAUGGUGAAAAGAAAGUUGCCGAAGGAAAAAUGUUGAAGAAGAAAGCUCCUUCGUACAGGCUGCAUGUUCUUUUUCUCAAAUUGCAUUUUGACCCCUAAAGUUUAAUUAAUUUCACUAUGGCCCAAAUACUUUCUCAAUUGAACCAAUUUUGCCCCUCAAAAUUUUAAUCUUCUUCUGAUUGUGAUAUGUGACUUGUUGUGUAGAUUAAUCUUGGGAUUUAAUGCAUGAUUAAGGUCCAGCAAUUUUUUAGAUUUAUUACCUUCUUGGACUAGUAAAAUAGAUUAAAGGCUUGGGUUAAUAUCUUCUUAGGGCUUUUGGGGCAUAUUAAUGUUAAGAAUCUGGUUGAAUUUGGUUAAUUUACUUGGAUUUUUUAGCUUGGGCUUAGGAGAUAAAAGCCCACCCUUUUGAUUGCAUUUGUUUGGGAUAAGAUUAUGGUCUGACCUGUACAUUUCUUUGGAUUUUUGAGCCGGGUUUAGGCAGUUUCGGCCCAAAGAAAGAAAAAUGGCUCAAUGACAUGAUGAUCUCAAGAAAUCAGAAAAUGAAUUUGCAGAUGGAUCCCUGUACUUUUUAGUAUUUUCACUACGGCCCUAAAAACCUUUAAUUUCUUUCAAUCAGGUCCCUAAUUUAAUUUCAAAUAGGUCCCUUAUCUUUAUUUUUCUUCAAUUUUGACCCCUGAUCUUUCUGAUAAUUACAAAUUGACCUCUAAAACUUUAGUAAUUUUUGCAAUUAGGUCCCUGACAGAAUUGUUGUCCUAAAUAGAAGUAGCCUUUUUUUAAUUAUGAAUUAUGUUCCAUUUGAACGCUUCAAUUGAUUGAUUUCAUGUUUAUUUCCAUUUUUAUGAAUUAUGUGUUAAUUAAAUUGGUGCCUUGAUGAUUUUUGUUGAUUUUGGAGUUAAAUAGGGCAAAUCCACACCCCAAUUAGUCACUACGUCAAGGGAGGUAUAUUCUCAUGUUAUUUUAAAUCUCCCUACGUGCUCCUAUGUGAUUUUGUGUGUAAUUGCAUGCCUCUUGAUUAUUUUUUAUUAUUUAUUUAUUUAUUCGCUUUAUUCGCUC